AACCGGGGUGCUGGAGCGUAUCCGGCUGAGACGGGAGCUGACGCUGCUUCCGAUACCGUGAACCUGAUCCGGGUAAUGCCGGCGUAGGAAGUUUUC
rnacentral:ncRNA from 1 species